rnacentral:rRNA from 1 species
CUUGAACGCUGGCGGCAGGCCUAACACAUGCAAGUCGAGCGGAGCGGCGGUCGGGUGAGUAAUGCCUAGGACUCUGCCUGGUCGUGGGGGAUAACGUCCGUAAACGGGCGCUAAUACCACAUCCUAUCAGAUGAGCCUAUGUCGGAUUAGCUAGUUGGUGGGGGAAAGGCCUACAAAGGCGACGAUCCGUAACUGGUCUGAGAGGAGGAUCAGCCACACUGGAACUGUGAGACGGUCCAGAAGACUACGGGAGGUACCAGUGGGGAAUAUUGGACAAUGGGCGAAAGCCUGAUACAGCCAUGCCGCGUGUGUGAAGAAGGUCUUCGGGAUGUAAAGUACGUUCAGCGGAGAGGCGUUACCCGCAGAAGAAGCACCGGCUAACUACGUGCCAGCAGCCGCGGUAAUUC